CACGUAGGGGCCAAGCGUUGUCCGGAUUCAUUGGGCGUACAGAGCUCGUAGGCGGUUCAGUUAGUCGGGUGUGAAAUCUCCGGGCUCAACCCGGAGGGGCCACCCGAUACUGCUGUGACUUGAGUCCGGUAGGGGAGUGGGGAAUUCCUGGUGUAGCGGUGAAAUGCGCAGAUAUCAGGAGGAACACCGGUGGCGAAGGCGCCACUCUGGGCCGGUACUGACGCUGAGGAGCGAAAGCGUGGGUAGCAAACAGG
rnacentral:rRNA from 1 species